UGGUGCCCCAGAGCGGGCUAGUCCCAGAGAGUUAAUUAUGCAUAAGCAGUUGCAAAGUUUGCUUUUGCGGUAUAAUAUUGAGCCACAUAUUCUUCACAGUAUAUUUUGCUCAUACCUACUGCCGACUUCCACAUGACAGCUGAAUUGCGAACUGUAAAUGGUUGAAGAUAGAAAACUUAUUAUAGAUUUUACAUCCAGCCCAUGAGGAUUUUGACUGAUUCCAUUGAGCAGGCUCAGAAGAGUGUUUGUGGAAAAAAGUGCCAAUGACUCAGUUCAGUUUUGUAAAGUACUAGCAGUUCUCUGGAGGAAACGUGCCAUAUUGAGUAAGUGCAAAGUAUAAUUAUUAAUCUUAAUAUAAUAUUUUUAAACUGCUGACAGAUGGUGAAUACAAUGAAAUAUUUUGAUAACUCCUUGUUAUAUUUUCCGAGAUUUGGAGGCUUACUGAAAAUAUGAGGAUCUAAAUACUUGAGCACGCAGAUGCUUUUUCAGAUCAGUGUGACCAAGUCUUUUUUUGCAAAUAACGUGUUGGAGUUUAAAAAGGAAGGUGGAGCAAAGAGAAAAGGAGAAAAAAAUACAUACAGAGGAAAGAUUCCUGCAAGAAUUCUAGUGGAACAUCAGGCAUUACACCUCCAGGGCAAUCUAUGCAUCUUUUAAACAGAAACUCCCUCAGAUGAGCUUGUCUAGGAUCACUAAAAGAACUUGGGCCAAGGAUGUCAGCAUUAAAAAUACUGAAUUGGCUGGAAAUACUGUUGUGUGUCAACCUUUAUUUGUCCUUUAAACCAAGAAAAAAGAAUAAAAGUAUGCCUGUAGGCAAAAUAAAGGUCCCCUCUUUCGUUCCCCUCCCUCCCAUUCCUCUUGUUCUCUUCAACUUAUACGAGAUUUGUAAAAUGAAUUGUAAUAGAAAGUUCAUAUGACAAAAAUUACAGUGGUGUGGCCAAGAAAACACCCAGGGGGCUUUUAGCUUCCGUUGUGCCAGGAAUGAACUAUCAGAUCAGCCUUCUGGACUCAAAUGCGACACUGUCAAUAAGGAUACAUCAUCUUUUUUGUGGUGUAGAAGAGCUGUCGGUUGUAAUUCCCAUUAUUCCAAAGCCAGGAUUUUCCAUUAGUACAGCCACCUGCUGGGUUUCUCUACUCAGGUUUAAUGGAGUCUGAAUUUGAAUUUAUCACCAUCUGUGGGAAGACAGGAAAUGAGAGAGCAUCACUAAUUCUUUCUUCAUUUGCUAAGUGUAUGUAUAAUCUUUAUAAGAAGCGGCAAAGCAGCAGAGAUUGGCGAUGGAUGGGAGACUAUUUUAGCUCACAUUGACAUCAGAGCUCCAGACCAAGGGGAAAACUUGCUGUCUGUUCUAAAGCCAAUUUCAGCAACGAAAAGAAUGUUUUAAUUUCCUAUGUAAUAUGGUAUCAAAAUCAUGCAGAUUCAGGAUACUAUUUCUCUUCAGCUUCCAAAAAGAUCUCAGAAGAUUUAAUCAGAUCUCUGGUGAAGAUGAAAGACUUGGAUACAUAUCAAGUUCACAAAAACGAGUUCAAGAUCCUAAUUACUACAUUAGCUUAUAAA
ensembl:lncRNA